GACGAACGCUGGCGGCGUGCUUAACACAUGCAAGUCGAACGAUGAAGAAAAGAAUUGAAGCUUCGGCAGAAAUUCAUUUCGGAUUAGUGGCAGACGGGUGAGUAACGCGUGAGCAACCUACCUCUUACAAAGGGAUAGCCUCGGGAAACCGGGAUUAAUACCAUAUAACAUUGCGACGAAGCAUUUCGAUGCAAUCAAAGCUACGGCGGUAAGAGAUGGGCUCGCGUCCCAUUAACCAGAUGGUGAGGUAACGGCUCACCAGAGUCACGAUGGGUAACCGGCCUGAGAGGGUGAACGGUCACACUGGAACUGAGACACGGUCCAGACUCCUACGGGAGGCAGCAGUGGGGAAUAUUGCACAAUGGAGGGAACUCUGAUGCAGCGACGCCGCGUGAGUGAUGAAGGAAUUCGUUUCGUAAAACUCUGUUCUAUGUGAAGAAAAGGACUGUACCAUAGGAGAAAGCUCCGGCUAAAUACGUG
rnacentral:rRNA from 1 species